rnacentral:lncRNA from 10 species
CCUGGCCUUUUUUUUUUUUAAGAGACAGGAUAGUGCUCUGCCACCCGGGCUGAAGUGCUGUGGAACGAUCACGGCUCACUGCAGCCUCGAACUCUCGGGCUCAACAGAUCCUUCAGCCGCAGCCUUCUGAGAAGCUAGGGCUACAGGCAUGUACCACCAUGCUCGGCUAAUAUUUUUUAUUUUUCAUUUUAGUAGAGAUGGGGUCUCGCUAUGCUGCCCAGGACAAUCUUAAGCUCCUGGCCUCAAGUAAUCCUCCUGCCUCAGCCUCCUGAGUUGCUGACAUUACAGUUUAAUAGAAACACACCGAAGCCAAGUAUCAUGAUGGGGCAUGGAGAAGAACAGCACAGAGAAGAGAGUGGUGAAUGUAGGAAACUGUAGAAGUGUUCCUUAAGAUCCAAAAACAUCAAUCACGCUUCACAUCAGCAUAUCGUGACUUAGUGAUGUCUAAUGAACAAAGACCUUUUUUCACCAUGAGUUAUGAGAAGUGACUUCUUUGGAUGCAAAGGCAAAAGCCAUUCUUCUGGGACAGUUCAUACCUGAAAUGUACAAAGACUGACACUGUUAUUCUCAAUUAUUUAAGGGGAUAGACCAAUGAAACCCCCAAAUUAUUCAUAAAUUGUAUUUUAGUAAUGAUUUAAUCUUCCUAUGAAAUGUUUGUGAAAAGCAAUUGGACAAUUCUGAAGAGAAGAAAAUGGUCCAGUUUUGCAUUAGUAUUUUUUGUUUGUUUGCUUUUUUUUUUUUUUUUUUUGAGACAGAGUUUCACUCUUGUUGCCCAGGCUGGAGUGCAAUGGCGCGAUCUCAGCUCACUGCAACCUCCGCCUCCUAGGUUCAAGCAAUUCUCCCGCCUCAGCCUCCCGAGUAUCUGGCAUUAUAGGCGCCUGCCACCACGCCCAGCUAAUUUUUGUUAUUUUUAUUAGAAAUGGGGUUUCGCCAUGUGGGCCAGGCUGGUCUCAAACUCCUGACCUCAGGUGAUCCAAAGUGCUGGAAUUACAGGUGUGAGCCACUGUGCUCGGCCAAGUUUUGCAUUAGUUUUUAGGCUUACUCUGAUAUUUUUAGAACUGACUCCAGACUCUAAACGUGUGUGUGUGGACGUGUGUGUGUGUGUGUGUGUGUGUGUGUGUUUGAGGGAGGGGAACAAAAGUUGAAUAACUAUUGGGUACUAUGUUCAGUACCUGAGUGAUGGGAUCAGUUGUACCCCAAACCUCAGCAUCAUGCUAUGUACCCAGGUAACAAACAUGCACACGUAUCCCCUAAAUCUAGAAAAUAAGUUGAAGUUAUAAAAAAAGAUAGAGAGUAUCAUUUUAUUGAUUUAUUUUUACCUUUUAUUGUGAUACUAUACAUUUUUUGAAUUUUAGCUGGGGCCUGCAAAAUCCCAAAAAGUAAAGAGUAAAAGAGCCUGAAUUUAAGUUGCCUGAUUUUUCUAAGCAAUUUUCUCACCUGUAAACAGAUUAAGAACUACUUUAAAGUGUUGUUGGGAUUAAAAGGGUGUAUUUAUCAGAAUUAAUGCGUGUGUAUAAAUAAAGUGUUUGGUACAUAAAAGGGGAUUAACGUCUCUUUUAAGUAAGAGGACUAAAUGGGCUAGGGGGUCACCAAGCCACAGGUGCCUGUGAUUACAGUAGUGAAUAUGGGUCAAGUUCCAUAUUUUACUCAAAUGUCUUGGGUGAGAACAGAAUAAGCAGAACUGUUAGAAUAAAGUGAAAGGUGGGGAAGAGGCAGGAUGGUCUAACAGAGAGGUACACAAGGUACUAAGAAACAGGAGACCUGCUCUACACUAAGUUUGUGUAGUACUUUGGGCAAAUCUCUUACUCUUUCUAGACUGAAGUUCUCUUAUGGACAAAAUGAAGAUAAACUGACCAGGCGCAGUGGCUCACACUUGUAAUCCCAGCACUCCUACCUCAGCCUCCAAGUAACUGGAACUACAGAUGCAUGCCACCAUGCCUGGCUAACUUAAAACUUUUUUUUU